ACUGAACGCUGGCGGAAUGCUUUACACAUGCAAGUCGAACGGCAGCACGGGGGCAACCCUGGUGGCGAGUGGCGAACGGGUGAGUAAUACAUCGGAACGUGCCCAGUCGUGGGGGAUAACGUAGCGAAAGUUACGCUAAUACCGCAUACGAUCUACGGAUGAAAGCGGGGGACCGUAAGGCCUCGCGCGAUUGGAGCGGCCGAUGUCAGAUUAGGUAGUUGGUGAGGUAAAGGCUCACCAAGUCGACGAUCUGUAGCUGGUCUGAGAGGACGACCAGACACACUGGGCCUGAGACACGGCCCAGACUCCUACGGGAGGCAGCAGUGGGGAAUUUUGGACAAUGGGCGCAAGCCUGAUCCAGCCAUUCCGCGUGCAGGACGAAGGCCUUCGGGUUGUAAACUGCUUUUGUACGGAACGAAAAGGCUCUGGUUAAUACCUGGGGCUCAUGACGGUACCGUAAGAAUAAGCACCGGCUAACUACGUGCCAGCAGCCGCCGUAA
rnacentral:rRNA from 1 species